rnacentral:rRNA from 1 species
UGCAGUCCAAACUUAUACGUGAACCAUCGAAUCGUUGAACGCACUGCAUCGAGCCUUACCCAGGAACGAUACGCCCCAUUGAGCGUCAUUAUGUCUUCGUGACUGUCAUUUAUUUGGCCUGUCCGGGUUCGGGAUUCACAGCUUUGAUUAGCUGCGCUUCCUUAGAUACAUGGAUGCACUACAGCUGAAGGUGUCCUUGUCAUAAAUGUCGAGGUUUUCCAAAAGCUUAGAUGCAAGAUUGCUCUUSUGCAGAGCAAUCAAAUGCGACCACUUCAUUGCGGAAGCAGCUUCUAAACAUGACCUCACGGGGGUGGGAUGACCCGCUAGACUUAAGCAUAUUAAUCAGCGGAGGAAAAGAAACUAACAAGGAUUCCCCUAGUAACUGCGAGUGAAGAGGGAUUAGCUCAAUGUGUGAAUCAGGUUUGGAUUAGCUCCUUGUCUGAGUUGUGCACUAUAGACGGCGGAUUAUCCGAUGAAACUCGGUGCCAUUGAGGGUCAUAGUCCUGUACUUGCCUUGUUACCUCUUGCGCAUUUGACCGACGUUCUGCGAGUCGCGUAGUUUUGUAUUGCUGCGCUAAUGGGGAGGUAGAGCCCUUGUAAAGCUAAAUAUGAUGACGUGACCGAUACCACACAAGUACCGCGAGGGAAAGGUGAAAAGCAACCAUGCAGAAUGGGUUGAAACAGAAGUGAAAGCGCUAAUGGGAUAAGGGCUGGGAAUUCCUUGUGUCAUUUGCGCGUGCUUUAGUGCUGUGYUYGUGAACGGCGUGUUUCAGUUAGGAUGGGGAGAACAGGGCCUUGGGAAUUCGGCUGGAUCCGUCCAGUGUUGUAGCCCUGGUGCCAAUGGAGCCUCUUCUGACUGUUGAGUGUCUUGCGAUUGUCAGCCGCCCGUCUUGAAACACGGACCAAGGAGUGCACCUUGCAUGCAAGUCGAAGGGACUGUAAUCCUGGAGGCGUAGCGAAAGCGAAGGCCACGAAUCCGUAAGGUGUCGGUGGCACCCGCCUUGUGUGAGGUAGAGCAUGUAGGGUGCGACCCGAAAGAUGGUGAACUAUGCCCGGGUAAGGU